rnacentral:lncRNA from 1 species
AAUCAAGCUUAAAGUGGGAUUUGAGUGUCCACAUGUCUCAGAAAAUUAUUUCUUUUGGUUUUUCUCAGGUCUGCAAGAUUAUGAUUAGGAAAUCAGGCUAACUGCACAGCUGGGAAGAUGGUCAUCACAUUCCUCCUGUCCGAAUGGCCCGGACCCACCAGUAGUUUCUGCUGAUGGAAAGCCACAGAGCUCGGAACUGCCUCUGGAGGGAAAAAAGGAGGAAGUGAGAUACAAUAACUGUGAUUUCUGAGAAACUUUGCAAGGAAAUGAAACAAUAACAGAGAAGACCAUCAGCAGUUCCAGGCAGUACGUUGCUGGUUUUUUAAGAACUUAUGGUCAUUAUGGAAGAUA